GACGAACGCUGGCGGCGUGCUUAACACAUGCAAGUCGAACGGAAAGGCACUGCUAUUGUGGGGUGCUCGAGUGGCGAACGGGUGCGUAACACGUGAGUAACCUGCCCUUGACUUUGGGAUAACUUCAGGAAACUGGGGCUACUACCGGAUAGGAGCCCCUGUUGCAUGGUGGGGGUUGGAAAGUCUCGGCGGUCGGGGAUGGAUUGGCGGCUUAUCGGCUUGCUGGUGGGGUAGUGGCUUACCAAGGCAUUGACGGGUAGCCGGCCUGUGUGGGUGAGCGGCGACAUUGGGACUGAGGUACGGCCCAGGCGCCUACGGGAGGCAGCAGGGGGGAAUAUUGCACAAGGGGCGGAGGCCGGAUGAAGCAGCGCCGCGUGCUGGAUGACGGCCUUCGGGUUAUAAACCGCUUUCGCCUGAGACGAAGCGUGAGUGACGGUAAUGGGUAAAGAAGCACCGGCUAACUACGUG
rnacentral:rRNA from 1 species